UACGGGGGGGGCAAGCGUUGUUCGGAAUUACUGGGCGUAAAGGGCUCGUAGGUGGCCAACUAAGUCAGACGUGAAAUCCCUCAGCCUAACUGGGGAACUGCGUCUGAUACUGGAUGGCUUGAGUUUGGGAGAGGGAUGCGGAAUUCCAGGUGUAGCGGUGAAAUGCGUAGAUAUCUGGAGGAACACCGGUGGCGAAGGCGGCAUCCUGGACCAAUACUGACACUGAGGAGCGAAAGCCAGGGGAGCAAACGGG
rnacentral:rRNA from 1 species